rnacentral:rRNA from 1 species
UACGGAGGGGGCGAGCGUUAUUCGGAAUUAUUGGGCGUAAAGGGCGCGUAGGCGGCAUGGUAAGUCAAAGGUGAAAUCCCUCGGCUCAACUGAGGAAUUGCCUUUGAAACUGCCAAGCUUGAGGCCGGGAGGGGGUAGCGGAAUUCCCAGUGUAGCGGUGAAAUGCGUAGAUAUUGGGAGGAACACCAGUGGCGAAAGCGGCUCUCUGGUUCACACCUGACGCUGAGGGGCGAAAGCGUGGGGAGCGAACGGG